rnacentral:lncRNA from 1 species
UGAUAUAUAUUUAUAUUAUGUUGUGCACUAGAUUUUAAAUGAUUUGUUUAUUAUGGAUCAUUUCUUCACUUUAUCCUUUAUCCAUGUCUUACAUGUUAGUGCAUAAACCGUUAACCGUCUUUAGGCAUUGUUUCUCCAUUAGAUGCAGGAACUGGCCAUACUCCUACUUCUCCUAUAUAAUGACUAGGUGAUUUGGGGCAGCUCGUGAGUCAUACUGAAGUUGUGAG